rnacentral:rRNA from 1 species
UCAUAUGCUUGUCUCAAAGAUUAAGCCAUGCAUGUCUAAGUACGUGCCUAAGAAAGGUGAAACCGCGAAUGGCUCAUUAAAUCAGUUAUGGUUCCUUAGAUCGUACCUUACUACUUGGAUAACUGUGGUAAUUCUAGAGCUAAUACAUGCAGCAGAGCUCCGACCUUCGGGGACGAGCGCUUUUAUUAGACCAAGACCAAUCGGACCUCGGUCCGAAGCUCAUGGUGACUCUGGAUAACUUUGGGCUGAUCGCACGGUCUCGUACCGGCGACGCAUCUUUCAAGUGUCUGCCUUAUCAACUUUCGAUGGUAGGUUAUGCGCCUACCAUGGUCGUAACGGGUAACGGGGAAUCAGGGUUCGAUUCCGGAGAGGGAGCCUGAGAAACGGCUACCACAUCCAAGGAAGGCAGCAGGCGCGCAAAUUACCCACUCCCGGCACGGGGAGGUAGUGACGAAAAAUAACAAUACGGGACUCUAUUGAGGCCCCGUAAUUGGAAUGAGUACACUCUAAAUCCUUUAACAAGGAUCCAUUGGAGGGCAAGUCUGGUGCCAGCAGCCGCGGUAAUUCCAGCUCCAAUAGCGUAUAUUAAAGUUGUUGCGGUUAAAAAGCUCGUAGUUGGAUCUCAGUUCCAGACGGGUGGUCCACCCCUGGUGGUUACUGCCUGGCCUGAACAAAUCCCGCCGGUUUUCCUUGAUGCUCUUCACCGAGUGUCUUGGGUGACCGGCACGUUUACUUUGAAAAAAUUAGAGUGCUCAAAGCAGGCGUGACGCCUGAAUAAUGGUGCAUGGAAUAAUGGAAUAGGACCUCGGUUCUAUUUUGUUGGUUUUCGGAACACGAGGUAAUGAUUAAGAGGGACAGACGGGGGCAUUCGUAUUGCGACGCUAGAGGUGAAAUUCUUGGACCGUCGCAAGACGAACUACU